rnacentral:rRNA from 1 species
CUGGCUCAGGAUGAACGCUGGCGGCGUGCCUAACACAUGCAAGUCGAACGGAACUUCUUUAAAGGAUUUCUUCGGAAUGAAUUUGAUUAAGUUUAGUGGCGGACGGGUGAGUAACGCGUGAGUAACCUGCCUUGCACAAGGGGAUAGCCGUUGGAAACGACGAAUAAUACCCUAUGAUAUGAUAGUCUCGCAUGAGAUUAUCAUCAAAGAUUUAUCGGUGUAAGAUGGACUUGCGUCUGAUUAGCUAGUUGGUGAGAUAACAGCCCACCAAGGCGACGAUCAGUAGCCGGUCUGAGAGGAUGAACGGCCACAUUGGAACUGAGACACGGUCCAAACUCCUACGGGAGGCAGCAGUGGGGAAUAUUGCACAAUGGGGGAAACCCUGAUGCAGCGACGCCGCGUGAUUUAGAAGGCCUUCGGGUUGUAAAAAUCUUUUGUAUGGGAAGAAAAUGACAGUACCAUACGAAUAAGGACCGGCUAAUUACGUGCCAGCAGCCGCGGUAAUACGUAAGGUCCGAGCGUUGUCCGGAAUCAUUGGGCGUAAAGGGUACGUAGGCGGAUAAGCAAGUUAGAAGUGAAAUCCUAUAGCUCAACUAUAGUAAGCUUUUAAAACUGCUCAUCUUGAGGUAUGGAAGGGAAAGUGGAAUUCCUAGUGUAGCGGUGAAAUGCGCAGAUAUUAGGAGGAAUACCGGUGGCGAAGGCGACUUUCUGGCCAUUAACUGACGCUGAGGUACGAAAGCGUGGGUAGCAAACAGGAUUAGAUACCCUGGUAGUCCACGCCGUAAACGAUGAGUGUUAGGUGUCUGGAGUAAAUCUGGGUGCCGCAGCUAACGCAUUAAACACUCCGCCUGGGGAGUACGCACGCAAGUGUGAAACUCAAAGGAAUUGACGGGGACCCGCACAAGCAGCGGAGCAUGUGGUUUAAUUCGAUGCAACGCGAAGAACCUUACCAGGGCUUGACAUGUGGGUGAAAGGUAUAGAGAUAUACCCCUCUCUUUAUGAGACAUCCAUACAGGUGGUGCAUGGUUGUCGUCAGCUCGUGUCGUGAGAUGUUGGGUUAAGUCC